GUUUUUAAAAUAGUACAGGGCAUUUCAAUUCUUAUCAAAUCAUGUAAUCCAAUUUCGGUAACAGUAAUUAUAUCUCAAGUAACAGUAAAACAUGUCAAGUAACAAUGAGAAUCUUUUGAAUAACUGUAAACAUCUCAAGUAAACUAUUCAGCACCAUAUCAAGUAAAGGACUCCAAGUAAAGGACUCGUCCCACAUGCAAUUUCAAACAUUCGAUAACACAUUUUAUUUUUAAAAGAACGUAUAAACCAUGCAGGUUAUGAAAACACAAAUUGCGGUAAGAUUACUACUCACAGUCUCGUGUCGAAAUACCAAACGUGUCACCUCGAGCAAUCCCGAUGACUUCUUAUCGAUCCAAGUGCUCAACUCGUGUGAAUCUAUAAAUCAAUAUAAGUUUAGGGUUACGAUAUGCUAACCGCAAAAUUCACUAAGUUUAAGUGAUAGGGAAUUACAAUUCCGGUUACACGUAUCUUGGUGUUACUCCAAAUAUCAUCAAUGGGACUAUCCAUAAUUCUAUCAAAUCUAAUUCUUAAUAAUUUCUUCAUUCCAGGCUCAUGGUUAUUCAAGAACUAGUUAUUUCACCAUAGAAAUUCACGCUGCUAUUACCCACCACAGCUAAAUACCAAACUCAAUUCUAGUAUUACAAUUUAACUCAACCCGUCAUAGAUUCAGUAUGUAAGGAUACUAGUUUAAAUAAAACACAUUGUUACCUCUAUUUCUUUGGGUAUGCGAAUCCGUUCUACAGUAAUCAAUGACCAAAGUUUAUUUCUUCUCUAAAAAUCUUGUUGUCAGUAGAUAUCCCCUUCAUUCUCCAGAACUUUUCUCCACUUCUACUUGUUUCUUUGUUCUUUCCUUCUUGAAAUUUCAAAUUGUUUUUACUCUUUGUUCUCCGUUCUUGUUCUUCUUCGCAGGAUAGCUCUAAAGCUUCUUCAAUCUCCUUUUUAU
rnacentral:lncRNA from 1 species